CAGCCAGCUUGGCUUUCUGGAUCAACUCGGUCUUAUCCAUGGUGGCUGGCAGUGGGGCGGGAGAGGUAUGGUAGCGAAGGCAGGAGAAGCUGGGGACGUCACGCUCCCAGUGAGAGAACGCACCUCAAAACCUGAGGGGCCGCUGGGCUGCAGUGGUGGGAUGCUGACGGCCCAGG